ACAGUAACAAGUUUGGAGAAUUUAGAAUCUGCAUACACUUCUAAGAAAUUCAAAAGACAAAGCUCACUGGUUACAACUGGCUAGGUAAACACUCGGUGCCACUAUACUUUUAUUUCAAUACUGCCAUCUUAGGUUAACACGUGGAACUACACAAUCUUAAAAAGCCAUACCCUUAUUCAAUAGUGAAUGAAAAGGUUGAAAAAAGAUUAAUGAGUUAUUUAAUGACUGUAACACAUAUUUACAAUAAUUAAUUUGCAUAUCUGAGAGUAUCCCUGACAAAAUGGAAGAUCUCAUGAGUUCACAAAUACAAGAGUAAUCCCCCAAAAGAAGUAAAAAUGUUCUCUAUUUUGCUGAUGGAAAAGGAAUUAAUUUAAGUAAUGAGCUCAAGAACAUGAAAAUUUGAAGAGAGAAAAAUUUGGAAGUAUAUGUCAAGAUGUAAAAUAUUCAUGCUGCUUAAUCCA